GACGAACGCUGGCGGCGUGCCUAACACAUGCAAGUCGAGCGAGUGAAUCUCCUUCGGGAGUGAAGCUAGCGGCGGACGGGUGAGUAACACGUGGGCAACCUGCCUCAUAGAGGGGAAUAGCCUUCCGAAAGGAAGAUUAAUACCGCAUAAGAUUGUAGCUUCGCAUGAAGUAGCAAUUAAAGGAGCAAUCCGCUAUGAGAUGGGCCCGCGGCGCAUUAGCUAGUUGGUGAGGUAACGGCUCACCAAGGCGACGAUGCGUAGCCGACCUGAGAGGGUGAUCGGCCACAUUGGGACUGAGACACGGCCCAGACUCCUACGGGAGGCAGCAGUGGGGAACAUUGCACAAUGGGGGAAACCCUGAUGCAGCAACGCCGCGUGAGUGAUGACGGCCUCGGUUGUAAGACGUCUGUCUUCAGGUACGAGUAAUAGACGGUACCGUGAGGAGGAAGGCCACGGCGUAACUACGUGCCACGCAGCCGCGGUAACGAACG
rnacentral:rRNA from 1 species